rnacentral:rRNA from 1 species
CCUACGGGAGGCAGCAGUGGGGAAUAUUGGGCAAUGGGCGCAAGCCUGACCCAGCAACGCCGCGUGAAGGAAGAAGGCUUUCGGGUUGUAAACUUCUUUUCUCAGGGACGAAGCAAGCGACGGUACCUGAGGAAUAAGCCACGGCUAACUACGUGCCAUCAGCCGCGGUCAUACGUAGGUGGCAAGCGGUAUCCGGAUUUACUGGGUGUAAAGGGCGUGUAGGCGGGACUGCAAGCCUGAUGUGAAAACCACGGGCUCAACCUGUGGCCUGCAUUUGAAACUGGAGUUCUUGAGUACUGGAGAGGCAGACGGAAUGCCUGGUGUAGCGGUGAAAUGCGUAGAUAGUAGGAGGAACACCGGUGGCGAAGGCGGUCUGCUGGACAGCAACUGACGCUGAGGCGCGAAAGCGUGGGGAGCAAACAGGAUUAGAUACCCGAGUAGUC